UACGAAGGGUGCAAACGUUGCUCGGAAUUAUUGGGCGUAAAGCGCACGUAGGCGGCUUGGCAAGUCGGAUGUGAAAUCCCUCGGCUCAACCAAGGAAGUGCAUCCGAAACUGCUGAGCUUGAGUACUUAAGAGGAUCGCGGAAUUCCCGGUGUAGAGGUGAAAUUCGUAGAUAUCGGGGAGGAACACCAGUGGCGAAGGCGGCGAUCUGGGAAGAUACUGACGCUGAGGUGCGAAAGCGUGGGAGCAAACAGG
rnacentral:rRNA from 1 species